rnacentral:rRNA from 1 species
CGUGCCAGCAGCCGCGGUAAUACAUAGGUCACAAGCGUUAUCCGGAAUUAUUGGGCGUAAAGCGUUCGUAGGCGGUUUGUUAAGUCUGGAGUUAAAGACUGGGGCUCAACCCCAGCCCGCUCUGGAUACUGGCUGACUAGAGUUACAUAGAGGUAAGUGGAAUUCUUAGUGGAGCGGUGGAAUGCGUAGAUAUUAGGAAGAACACCAAUGGCGAAGGCAGCUUACUGGAUGUACACUGACGCUCAGGGACGAAAGCGUGGGGAGCAAACAGGAUUAGAUACCCUGGUAGUCCACGCCGUAAACGAUGAUCAUUAGCCGCUAGAAUAUUUAGUGGCGCAGCUAACGCAUUAAAUGAUCCGCCUGAGUAGUAUGCUCGCAAGAGUGAAACUUAAAGGAAUUGACGGGGACCCGCACAAGCGGUGGAGCAUGUGGUUUAAUUUGAAGAUACGCGUAGAACCUUACCCACUCUUGACAUCUUCCGCAAUACUAUGGAGACAUAGUGGAGGUUAACGGAAUGACAGAUGGUGCAUGGUUGUCGUCAGCUCGUGCCGUGAGGUGUUAGGUUAAGUCCUGCAACGAGCGCAACCCCUGUCUUUAGUUACUAACGGAUAGUGCCGAGGACUCUAGAGAGACUGACUGGGUAACCAGUAGGAAGGUGGGGACGACGUCAAAUCGUCAUGCCUCUUACGAGUGGGGCAACACACGUGCUACAAUGGACGGUACAAAGAGAAGCAAUAUGGUGACAUGGAGCAAACCUCAAAAAACCGUUCUCAGUUCGGAUUGAAGUCUGAAACUCGACUUCAUGAAGUUGGAAUCGCUAGUAAUCGUAGAUCAGCUACGCUACGGUGAAUACGUUCUCGGGUCUUGUACACACCUCCCGUC